UCCAUGCAGGCUGUGCCGUAC
rnacentral:misc_RNA from 1 species